GACGAACCGAGCGAACGUUGUUCGGAAUCACUGGGCUUAAAGGGCGCGUAGGCGGGCAAGCAAGUCCGGGGUGAAAGCUUUCGGCUCAACCGGAAAAGGGCCUUGGAUACUGCUUGUCUGGAGGGAGGUAGGGGCCCGUGGAACUUCCGGUGGAGCGGUGAAAUGCGUUGAUAUCGGAAGGAACGCCGGUGGCGAAAGCGACGGGCUGGAUCUCUACUGACGCUGAGGCGCGGAAAGCCAGGGGAGCAAACGGG
rnacentral:rRNA from 1 species